UACGUAGGGUGCGAGCGUUAAUCGGAAUUACUGGGCGUAAAGCGUGCGCAGGCGGUUUUGUAAGCCGGAUGUGAAAUCCCCGGGCUUAACCUGGGAAUGGCAUUCGGGACUGCAAGGCUGGAGUGCGGCAGAGGAGACUGGAAUUCCGGGUGUAGCGGUGGAAUGCGUAGAGAUCCGGAAGAACACCGGUGGCGAAGGCGGCCUGCUGGGCAGUGGCUGACGCUGAUGCGCGACAGCGUGGGGAGCAAACAGG
rnacentral:rRNA from 1 species